rnacentral:rRNA from 1 species
AAUACCUACGGGGCGCAGCAGUGGGGGAUAUUGCACAAUGGGGGAAACCCUGAUGCAGCGACGCCGCGUGGGUGAAGAAGCGCCUCGGCGCGUAAAGCCCUGUCAGCAGGGAAGAAAAUGACGGUACCUGAAGAAGAAGCCCCGGCUAACUACGUGCCAGCAGCCGCGGUAAUACGUAGGGGGCAAGCGUUAUCCGGAUUUACUGGGUGUAAAGGGGGCGCAGACGGCGAUGCAAGCCAGGAGUGAAAGCCCGGGGCCCAACCCCGGGACUGCAUUGGAAACUACCGAACUAGAGGGUCGGAGAG